UUUCAAAAAAAAAAAAGGCUUAUGUGUUCUGCUUGUCUACACAUCUACCAUCUUCCCCAAAUAAAACCCUUAAUUCAUAAAAAUUAUCCGGUGUAUUCAUGUGUCCGAGCGUUCUCUCCAAGUUGUCACCACCGCUGCUGAUUGUUUCUGUCGUUCCUCGCCCACUGACAUCCGCCACCACCAACGCCACGUACAGUGGUCAUGGACACCAAAAUCACCCACGCCGGGUUCAUCAUCACAGCUAUUGUUGAAUGAUGGUUAAGAUGGGUUAUGUUGGUGAUCACCCGGUCAUGAAGAAAUCGUCGGUACGAAAGCAGUUGAGGUGAAGAUAGACGGUGAUGAUUGGGUUUUCAAUAAAAGGAUGACAGGGUUUUCGAUUUGUUACUACUAACAGUCCACCGAUAAUCCGGUGAUGAGGGGCAAGCUACUUUAUAUGCUAUCAAAAAACUGAAAAGAGUGAAUUCAGUGACAAUAAGGAGCCUUCUUUUGCUUUCUUGAAUUCUCUGCUCCUUGGAGAGUGGGAGGAUCGCCUGAAGAGAGGGCGAUUUCACUCGCUAUGAUGUUACUGCCCACGAAAGUAAGGUAUAUAUAUCAAUUUAAUGUCUUUGUUUUAAAAAGUUGCGCCUGAGGCAUGAGGCACUCGCAACGGUAUGGAAAACACAGCAGGGUCUUGAGGUAGUGUCUCAUGCGUACCUGCGUACCUGGGUCAAAAUUAGUCGUAAAGUAACACCUUAAUUGCGUUUUUGAUGUAUGUUAGUGUCAAUAUAGGAGACUAUAGUUCAAUGAACAGUAAUCGGGUGCUCACGAGGGCCCGUCCGUGGUUUGGAUAUGAAUAAAUAUGGAGUAUCCCAAAUGUCCUUUUCUUACGGCACCUCUCAUAUACUCAUGAGUCAUGAAUAUGCUUCGUGUUCCAUAUAAAAUAACUUAAAGAAAGUAAAGAUAUCUGAUUCUGUGAGUCAAUAUACUUUUUGCCAAUUGUUGACCCAUUCCCUUCUUUUACAUUUUCCAAAUGUGUAUAGAAACAGGAUUAUAAAAAAAAACUAGAAUAACUAUGUAAAUGUAUACAAUUAUAAUAAUUAGUCAAUAAUUGUGAGUAUCACGACUAUUAACUAUUUUCAAAUAUGAUUGUAAUUAUAAUCGUCUAUAUAUCAUGGAACUAAUAUACUUUCUAGAAAAAUUAAUACAUACCAAAGUUACAAUUCCAUAAUAACCAAGAAAUGGUGCCCUACUCCAUAAUAGAGGUGCUUUGAUAUAUUUAAUUUAUCAUACCUUUGUUAUCUUCUAUAUUUUGAACUUCUUUUCCUCUUUUGUGUGUUUGUUAUUCUGUAAAUAUUCAAACUCGCACAACACACAGCGAAGCUGGCUGUAGAAAAGAGUGACAGAGAGGUCAAAGAGGGCAGAAGAUGGAGAGAGAAUGAGAGAAUUACAAGCUGGAUUGCGGGGGUGCAUAUCUGAUCCUAAACAACUUUCAAGAGACAUUACGGAGGCGUAAGACAAAGGCCAUGGGGAAAUGGGCAUCCGAGAUAUGCACUCCUAACAAAGGCGCCAGUGUUUGGUUGUGUACAUUUGAAACAACCGAGGCUGCAACCGCAGCUUACGAUCAAGCUGCACUUGAGUUCAAAGAGGCGAAGGCAAAGCUCAACUUCCCAGAGCUUCGAGCUUCGUGACAUAACCACCAACAUCACCACCACCGCGACACAAGUACACAACCACCCGCUGCCACCUCAUCACAGCCUCCAAAUCCUAGAAUUUAAGUGAAUGUGUUCAAAUUUUGGCUGUACAAUGUGUUCAAGAUAAAAUACAUAGCCACUGUGGUUUUGUUCCAAACUUGAUACCCUUGCUUUUAUUUGUAUGCAUAUUAGUGAUAUGUUGUUUUGCCAACAUAUUGCAUUUGCUAAUUGGUAAAUCCUAUAAUAAUUUGUUAUUUAUCGUCCUUGAAAUUAGUGAUUUCGCAUUGAAUUCAGGUAAGGAGAGGUGCAGAUAGAGUAGAUAUCUACAUCCCUGCUUACUCUACUAUGGCUGAAAGGUUGGCUGUUUCAAGUGACAAAGGUUGAUUUUGGCCCAUUGCAAACUACAUCAGACCAAAAUAGUGGAUACCAAAGGUAUAUGUAUUCUGAAUUUAAUAUGUUGGUGAUCGUGCAUUUACUUUCAACUUUGAUCCUUUAUAGUUUUCAUUUUCCGCAA